AUGUUCUGGUGCGAUGCACAGUCGCGGAGGGACUAUCAGGACUACGGAGAUGUGGUCGUGUUUGAUAGCACGUAUAAGAUGAACAGAUACGGUAUGCCGUUCGUCCCCUUUGUAGGAGUUAAAAACCACCGUUGCACCACAGUGUUUGGUUGUGCCAUCAUUGCUGACGAGAUGGAAGGGACAUACGUGUGGCUGCUGCAGACAUUUAUGAAGGCAAACUGUCAGGUGAAGUCAAAGUCAAUAAUCACAGACGGUGACGCUGCAAUGAUCCGUGCUAUUCGGACCGUCCUUUCAGAUGUUUUCCAUUGUCUUUGUUCGUGGCAUAUCGAGAAAAAUAUGCAGAGGCGCCUACAUUACAAGUCACUGGAUGAGUUCAGAUCGCUCCUGUACUAUGCCACCUCUCAAGCGAACUUUGAGCAGAGAUGGAAAGCUUUCUAUGAUAAGUGGAAGACGGAUAGAACUGAAGAAUGGCUUGACAGGAUGUACAGGAAGAGGAGACUGUGGGCAGCUUCAUAUCUUUCCGAUGGUUUUUUUCUUGGUAUGCGAAGUAACCAGAGAAGUGAAAGCCUCAACUCCUGCCUUCACCUUCACCUGGACUACGGUAUGACAAUUGUUGAUUUGGUGGUGCAUUAUGAGAACUGUAUAGUUCGCCUGCGUGAGAACGAGGCGUACGAUGACUGCGAGGCAUUCCAGAAGGAACCACCGUCUGUUACUGAAUAUAAAGUCCUUGAGGAGCAUGCCGCCAAAGUAUUCACACCUGCUAAUUUUUACAUCUUGCAAGAUGAUUUGCAUAAGAUGGGCCAGCUGGAGAUAUUUGAGACGCUCGUGGGAAUUGGGCGUGAGACAUUCAUGGUGACAUGGAAGGAUAACCACAAGUUUAGGCACAAUGUUGUUUAUGAACCAGGUAACUCGGAAGAAACUAUUACAUGCAGUUGUCUUAGGAUGGUUUGGAAAGGGCUGCCAUGCAAACACAUUCUGUUUGUUCUCCAUCAUCUGAAUUUAACUGGAAUACCAAAGUGUUGUGUCCUUCAUCGGUUGUCCAAACAUGCGAGAGAUGGGUUGCCUGUGCAGAGGAAGAGUGAUAUGUUUGGAUGGGGUUGGUCAGGGCCAUUGGAGAGAGAACGGUAUAGUGCAAUAACCAUUAAAACCGCAGAAGCUGCUCAUGUUGCAGCAAAUGAUCCCUUCUUGUUCGAUGAGUUGAUGAAGUGUCUGGACAACAUAAUAGCGCAGAAAAAGAUUUCAGAGGAGGAACUUAUAGGAAGUAGAAGGUAUGCUAUGCUGAAGAAGGAGGCAAGUCAAGCGUAA
rnacentral:rRNA from 1 species